rnacentral:piRNA from 1 species
UGCUCUGACUGUAGACAGGGAGGAAAGUGU